UACAGAGGUCUCAAGCGUUGUUCGGAUUCAUUGGGCGUAAAGGGUGCGUAGGCGGCGCGGUAAGUCGGGUGUGAAAUCUCGGAGCUUAACUCCGAAACUGCAUUCGAUACUGCCGUGCUUGAGGACUGGAGAGGAGACUGGAAUUUACGGUGUAGCGGUGAAAUGCGUAGAUAUCGUAAGGAAGACCAGUGGCGAAGGCGGGUCGCUGGGCCGAUACUGACGCUGAGGAGCGAAAGCGUGGGGAGCAAACAGG
rnacentral:rRNA from 1 species